rnacentral:snoRNA from 1 species
AAAAUUAUACUUUCAGGGAUCAUCUCUAUAGUUUCUUACUAGAGAAGUUUCUGUGAAUGUGUAGAGCACUGGCAAUUACAAGGCCAAGGCUCAGCAUUCUCACCUAAGCAUGAAGUUAACUCUUGAUGUUGGUUGGCUGCAACUGCCAUUUGCCAUUAAUGACCAUUAAUGGCAAAUGACCUACCACAGGAAGACCAUUCUCUUCCUGUGGCAGAGGAAAAGGGAGAGAAUGCACUUUGAGUGGU